rnacentral:tRNA from 1 species
GGCCGAGUAGCCAAGUGGUAAGGCAGGGGACUGCAAAUCCCUUACACGAGGGUUCGAUUCCCUCCUCGGCCUCCA